GCCAGGCACGGUGGCUUGUGCCUGUAAUCCCAGUUACUGGGGAGGCUGAGGCAGGAGAAUCACUUGAACCUGGGAGGGGGAGGUUGCAGUGAGUCAAGAUUGUGUCACUGCACUCCCACCUGGGUGACAGAGUGAGACUCUGUCUCAA
ensembl:misc_RNA Metazoa_SRP Metazoan signal recognition particle RNA